UACGGGGGGGGCUAGCGUUGUUCGGAAUUACUGGGCGUAAAGGGCGCGUAGGCGGCUUGCACCGUCAGAUGUGAAAUUCCUGGGCUUAACCUGGGGGCUGCAUUUGAUACGUGUGGGCUUGAGUGCGGAAGAGGGUCGUGGAAUUCCCAGUGUAGAGGUGAAAUUCGUAGAUAUUGGGAAGAACACCGGUGGCGAAGGCGGCGACCUGGUCCGUGACUGACGCUGAGGCGCGAAAGCGUGGGGAGCAAACAGG
rnacentral:rRNA from 1 species